rnacentral:rRNA from 1 species
AGCGAACGCUGGCGGCAGGCCUAACACAUGCAAGUCGAACGGACCCUUCGGGGUUAGUGGCGGACGGGUGAGUAACACGUGGGAACGUGCCUUUAGGUUCGGAAUAGCUCCUGGAAACGGGUGGUAAUGCCGAAUGUGCCCUUCGGGGGAAAGAUUUAUCGCCUUUAGAGCGGCCCGCGGCUGAUUAGCUAGUUGGUGAGGUAAUGGCUCACCAAGGCGACGAUCAGUAGCUGGUCUGAGAGGAUGACCAGCCACAUUGGGACUGAGACACGGCCCAAACUCCUACGGGAGGCAGCAGUGGGGAAUCUUGCGCAAUGGGCGAAAGCCUGACGCAGCCAUGCCGCGUGGAUGAUGAAGGUCUUAGGAUUGUAAAAUCCUUUCACCGGUGAAGAUAAUGACUGUAGCCGGAGAAGAAGCCCCGGCUAACUUCGUGCCAGCCGCCGCAGUAACAC